GAAUGGUGUUACGAAGGUCUUACUGUCUUAAGAAAAUUCUCAGCGAAAUUGAAUUUGUAGUGAAGAUGCUACAUCCAAAUUGUUAGACGAGAAGUCCCUAUGGAACUUUACUGGAGACUUAUGUGGCUUUAACUUGUGACUUACAAAUAGAUAGGUUAUACUCUGUGGCGACAGUCGUUUUAUCUAAAGACCAGCCCUCUGAUUGACUCUUUGGGGUGGUCUUUGGGCUAGGUUGGUAAAGCCCACUCUUCUAUUUUAAGAAAGCAGCAACUUUUCUAAAAGUUUGUGCGGUAAGAGUUAUGUUGUUUGGUAAGUUAGACAGUUUGGUUGGGGCGACUGCCUUUUAAAGAGUAACGAAGGCGGGCUUAAGAUACAUAUCAACAACUGUUGUCUGACUGCGAAGGGGAAGGCCCUGAGCAGACACUAGGUAGUGGUGGGUUAUAGUGACACGUUAAUUUAAGGUGAAAUAGUUAACGAUAAACAGAUAAAAGU
rnacentral:rRNA from 1 species